rnacentral:lncRNA from 1 species
AACUUGAUCUACAUCGAGAGUUCCGUGAGCGCCAGGGCUACCUAAGGAGACCCUGUCUCAAAAGAGAACAAAAAUGGGUAAGUAAAGACAAUAUAAAUUUUUUCUCCGUUCAUUAAAAUAAGAGAAACGGCCGUGCUCUGUGCAUUUGUGCGCAUGCACGCAUGCGCGCAGGUGUCAGCCCUCCGCCGUCCUCCAUUUUGUUUCUGAGACAGCGGGCAAAAUGGCUAGGGAGCCAUGAGUCUCCGCCACCUCCAUGUUGGGAAUACAAGAUGCACCAGCGUAGGUGGCCUAUAAACUCGGGUCCUGAAGAUGUCUUCUUGCGCGGACGGUCCUUUGCCUGACAACAUGUUCACCUGGUCCGUGCACUUCUAUCUUUCUCCCAUCUCUUUACUUAAAUGCUUCAAUAAUCAAUAAUCAGCUCAGAGUUAGAAAGCAUGCAGUUCAAAAAAAAAAAAAAAAAAAAAAACCAAGAACUCAUGUGUGAAAAGAGGACUGUGUUAAGACAAGAGCUUACUUCAAAGAUGCAAAGUGUUUAAAGAGCCAGCUUCCGCUGCCCUUGAUAGGAGCUCAGGGUUCUCACCAACUAGCUUUCCAAAUUGGAACAAAGUACAUUUGCUCU